UUUAUUUAUUUGUAUAAAUCCACUCAGAGGAGAAAACAAAGUAAAACAAAGAGUUUGGGUUCUCCGGCGGACGCCUGGUUCCGGAGGCCCCGAGGGGCCGGCCGGGGCGGAUCCGCCGAAGCAACGAUAGGUAAGGUUCACAAAGGGUUUGGGAGUUUGUAAACUCGGUAAUGAUCCCUCCGCUGGUUCACCAACGGAGA
rnacentral:misc_RNA from 1 species